UGUGUGUUGGAUCAGUGCAGUCGAGCUCAUGCUCUGAUACCACUUGUUGGGACCGGUUUGACUCUGAAACGAUUGCGUAUGACACGUUCGACGUGCGGAAUCCGUGAACGUGAGUGACCGAACACACGAGACGUACUCAAUCUGUGAUUCUGUAGAAAUGUAUGAAAUCGUACAAAGCACCUCGAAUCACCUUUUGCCUUUCUCUCUCUACUUUCUCUCUCUAGCUCCUAUCUCCUUCUAAUGUAGCAAAAUGGCAAAAGUUCCUAAAGCUAACCCUAAUGCUUCUAUUUAUAGGCCAAGGAAUAAGGAGAUUUUCCUUAUUUACAAUUAUGCCACCUUGCCUUUUAGUAACUAGAUAUUACACUAUAAGUCUUUCGUUUCUUCAUUUCUGCUACGGACGGAAUUGACGGAGGCGAUAGACAUAAAUGCACUAACAGGAGCUGGGUAGGUACAAGUUUACACUUAGUUUUAAAUCAAAUAAUCAAGAUAUAAGAAUAUAAUUUCAAAACAGUAAGUUUAUAACUUCUUGGACCUCAAUGUGUUUAGAGAAAGCAAGGAGAAGAAAAGAGAAAGAAAAAGAUAAAACUUGUGAGUAAAAACUCACUGUGAAAUAUCUGGAGUUCACUGUUUGCAACUUGAAUACUUGAGAAAAUGUGAGUGCUUGAUAGAGUUUAAGGUGGAUGGAAUGGAUUUAGAGUGAAAGGGGGCUUGUAUUUAUAAGCUAAAAAUUUGGGUUUAAGCAUUUAAUAAAGUUGGGUGUUAGUUAGCCGUUAAAAUAAAGUGGAAACAGACUGUUAAAAUAUCUUCUGUGGUGUUGCGGUAAACAUGUAUGUGUGCAGACAUGACCAUACGAAGGAGUAGGAGGAGGCAAAUCACAUAGGCCUUUGGCCACAUGUGUUUCGUGUAGAAGAAGGGGGCGAAAGAGAGAGGGGCGAAGGCAUGUCGUGGCACGAAGGCCACUGCCUUUGUGUGGCAUUUAGAUUGGGCGAAGGCCCCUUGGGCUUUUUUGUUUUCUUGAACAAAAAGAGACAAGAAGCAUUUAUAUGCUUUAUAUUAUUAUUAUUAUUAUGAUUAUGUGGCACGAAGGCCACGAAGGUGGCCUUUUGGGCUGUCUUCAUAUGUCUUUGGCCCGACGGUUAUGGGUUAGGUUCGUGUCAAUUUUUCGUAUUUAGCCUGCUUCAAGUAUAUUAUAUCAGAAUGUAACAAUGUAUUUAAUAGUUAUCAAGCACGUAUAAGUUAUGAGUACAAGUACUUCGAGUAUUGGUUGUGUGUAUGCAUUCAAGAUUGAUAACAUAUAACCCAAGUAUUGUAACACACAUAAGUAUGUAUAAAAAUAGUAUUUCAUUAUGAUCAAAGUCUUGGAUACAAGAUUGAAAAUAAAAUACGAACACGGUACGAUUAGAGUUUCCAAAAAUAGAAAAUACGAUCUCGCUUUCUAAAUAAGGAAAGUACAAAAAUGCGAAGCGUUAUACGUAGUUUGGUCUAAACUGACCUGCGUCCAUAGGGGUGACUAGGAUAACGUUUAUUGAGGUGUUAAAUAAUUACAAGCAUAUUAAAAUAUUUAUAGAGACUAUCAUAGGGUUUAGCAAACUUACUGUCCAAUAUAAGCCCGUAUAGGGACCACAAGGCCUAUAAACCAAACAUUUUCCUGUGUAGGAUCUUCAUCUUAGAGCCGAUUGGAUUUGUGUUACGGGUGUGAGAUUGAAAAUAAGAUUUGGUUGUGGUUGUGUUUUGGUACCCAAUCACUUUGAGACGACAUUUUCCUUCGACCAAAACUAUAUUAUUCGUAUUGUAAUAUUGUAUGCAAAGUCAGCUCUUGGGCCGGCCAAUCCAUGUCGUCGCUCGAGGUCCAAAUUUUUAAAGGGCCCGAAAGGUUUUUAUAAGCUUUUAUAUAUAGACUAAAUUUUAUAUUUAAUAUAUGCAUCCGUUUAUUAUUUAAAAAAAGUGUUGAUAGUGGAAUGGAAAAGCCAUCUGAAGAUAAAGCAAAGGUCUUAAGUUCAAGUCUUGGCUCCAUCAUCAAGGUUUUAAUUUUUAAAUCAUUUCCCCUUUAACCACAAUUUUUGGGAACAAUUUUUUUUUAUCGCCCGAGGCCUAAUUUUUUUUAAAGUUCUCGGGGACGGCUCUGAUUGUAUGAAGUCUUUUUGAGUAGUUGUUAUGAUUCAUGCUAGGAUCUUUUUAACAAAGCUAGUUUCAAAAGAGUAUAAACAAUUACAUCCUCUGUAUUUUGUUUUGAUUUAUACUAUACUAGGUUAUAACCCCGUGUAUCACACGAGAUGAAUAAAGAAAAAAUUCAUAUAGUUAGUACCGAAAGAUUACGAAUUAUAAAACGACAUUUUUAGACACUUUUCAAAUAUCGGAAUAAAUUUUGAGUUGUAUAUGAUCAAACCUUGUGGUGUUUAUCAAGUUAUAAAUAUGACGCAUUUAAUCCAUCUAUAAAGUUACAUAUUAUAAAAUAAAAAUAAUCAUAAUUGCACCAUAAUCAUAAUAACAAUCCACAUAAUCAUAGUAAAAUCCAAAACACCAUACAAGAAAACAUGACUGGAACUAAAUGUCAUAUCUAAAUUCAAAGAAACAAAUAGUACGGGACAUUGGUUUUCUAAUAUUUGUUGUUAAUUUUCAUAUGUAACAUUGUGGAUCAAACAACUAUGACACUCACAUAAGUAUGUAUUUGUAUAUACUAACUUUUCAUGUUUUGAAAUUAUAUUUAGUGAUAAAAACUAUAAUUUGAAUAGUUAUCAUUUUAUGAAUGUUAGAGAUACAGAGAUUGCAUAUUCUUAUCAUUUUAUCAUUAUCAAUAUAUAUUGUUAUUGGCUAUAAAUAGUUGGCACUACAUAACUAUAAAACUUAGACAACAAUGCAACUAAAUAAUUAACUAAUUCAUACCUAUAUAAACAAUCUUCUAAACCAAUUUCAAUAGAUCAUGGUUUACCAAUCAUUUUAUUUUUAUUUUUAAGAAACGUUAUAAAUGCAUUCCUUUAACCGAAUAAUGAAAAGACCAUGCAUAAUAGAAAUUAUAGAAGCAUGAAAGGGACUUGAUAAUGCCCUCAACACUGCCCCUGGGCGUUAUAGGGCAUGAGGAGGGACAAAUAUUUCUUGUA
rnacentral:lncRNA from 1 species